ACCAGGGUAGCUUAGUCAGUAGAGCGCGCGACUCGUGAUCUCGGAGUCAUGGGUUCAAGCCCCAUGUUGGGCA
rnacentral:tRNA from 1 species